AAGUCGUAACAAGGUUUCCGUAGGUGAACCUGCGGAAGGAUCAUUACUGAGUUAGGGUCUUCUAGGCCCGACUUCCAACCCUUUGUCUAAAUACCACUUGUUGCUUCGGCGAGCCCGUUCCUUGAAAUAUAGGGACCGCCGGGGGUUUCAUACCCUUGGUCCGUGCUCGUCGAUAGCCAUUAUUAAACUCUUGAUUAAAUGUGUCGUCUAAGUAAACAAGCAAUUAAAAUAAAACUUUCAACAACGGAUCUCUUGGUUCUG
rnacentral:misc_RNA from 1 species